rnacentral:rRNA from 1 species
CGGGAUUAGAGUUUGAUCAUGGCUCAGAACGAACGCUGGCGGCAUGCCUAACACAUGCAAGUCGAACGCUAUCUUGUAUAGAGUGGCGCACGGGUGAGUAACGCGUGGGAACCUACCUUUCUCUGCGGGACAACGGCUGGAAACGGCCGCUAAUACCGCAUACGCCCUACGGGGGAAAGGUCAGCCGGAGAAAGAGGGGCCCGCGUUAGAUUAGCUAGUUGGUGGGGUAAUGGCCUACCAAGGCGACGAUCUAUAGCUGGUCUGAGAGGAUGAUCAGCCACACUGGGACUGAGACACGGCCCAGACUCCUACGGGAGGCAGCAGUGGGGAAUAUUGGACAAUGGGGGCAACCCUGAUCCAGCAAUGCCGCGUGUGUGAUGAAGGCCCUAGGGUUGUAAAGCACUUUCACUGGUGAAGAUGAUGACGGUAACCAGAGAAGAAGCCCCGGCUAACUUC